rnacentral:rRNA from 1 species
UUAGAUACCCCAAUAGUCAAAGCAGAAAAUGAUGAAUGUCAUAGAUUAGAUAUACAAUUUAUUCUAUAAAUGAAAGUGUAAGCAUUCCACCUCAAGAGUAAUUUGGCAACAUUGGAACUGAAAUCAUUAGACCGUUUCUGAAACCAGUAGUGAAGUAUGUUGUUUAAUUUGAUGAUACGCAAAAAACCUUACCACAAUUUGAAUAUUUAUAUAAAUCUUUUAUUGAUUUUUACUAACAUAUAUGUAAACAAUUAAAAUGAUGCUUAAUCUCGCAAACGAGAUUUAAGCAUCAGAAAAGAUAAUAUAUUUACAAGCGUUGCACGGCUGUCUUCAGUUAAUGUCGUGAGAUUUUGGUUAGUUCCAUUAAAUUAACGUAAACCCUUACUUUAUUUUUAUAUAAAGUAGUUCUCCGCUAUAUUGGAUAUGAUAACAGGGACUAAGACAAG